rnacentral:rRNA from 1 species
AUGGCAGCAAUUCACCACCUCCUCUCCGUCUCCGUGUACAUCAUUUGUCUCUGCUACUUGCUGUCGUUGACCAGUGCACCUCCGGGUCUGGCCACCGCGCUCUCCUUCAACUUCAACUUCUCCAGCAGCAACUCCGGCGACCUCUGCGACACAGAGCUUAGGUGCGAACGUGACGCGCGCAUGGGCUCUGGCGCCAUCGACCUAACAAAGAAUGAGGUCAAAGCCAACUUGUACAGCGCCGGCCGGGCAUCGUAUGGUUGCCCGGUGCCGCUCUGGGACAAUGCCACCGGCGAGGUGGCCAGCUUCUCCUCCAACUUCACGUUCCAGAUCAGGCCCCAAAAUGAGACGGAUGAGAAGUUCCCUGGAGAAAAGUGUGACUUCAACAGCAGCGACGGCAUGGGUGACGGUAUGGCUUUCUUCCUAGUGCGCUACCCGUCCAGGAUCCCUCCCAACAGCUACGGCAUGAACCUCGCCCUCUUCAACGGCAGCAACAACUUCAACGCCACCGGCGAUGACCGCGUAGUCGCGGUGGAAUUCAACACCUACUUCAGCCCCAUGGACCACAGCAACAACCACGUUGGCAUAGAUGUCAACUCCAUCAACUCCAAGGCCUACACAAACGUGACCAAGCGCCUGGGCUCCGACGAUGCCGUCAUGACUGUCGAGGUCAGCUACGACAACCGUACGCGUGUUCUGGUCGCCCACCUCCAGAUCAGCGGCGACGAGCGGUGGUACACGGUGAGCAUGUCCGUGGACAUGAAGAAGGAGUUGCCCCAGCAGGUUGCGGUUGGCUUCUCUGGAGCAAGCGGUAUCUGCAUCGAGCUGCAUCAAGUAUUGUCUUGGUCGUUUAGCUCCACUCUAGAAGAAGCCGCUGUACUAGCUACCAAUUCGCGGCCGCCACGGUAG